GCAUGUUUAUUGGAAGAGAAAGGCGAUUGUGGGAAAAUGCAUGAUAUGAUUCGAGACAUGGCUUUGUGGAUAGCAUGUAAAUGUGAAAAAGAAAAUCACAAGUUUUUUGUGAAGGCAGGUGUUCAAUUAACUGAGUACCAGAAUAUGGGAAGGAUCAAAUCGGAUGUCACUAAUGGCAAACUCCUUCAACACAAUCCAAGAAGUUCCUAAAUGUCAUGAUCUUUUGACUUUAUUUGUCAGCCAGAACAGUGCUUUGUGCAAGAUCAGUGAUGGUUUCUUUCGGUUUCUGUAUACACUAACCGUUCUAGGCAUCUCACACGCUAAUAUAUGUGAAUUGCCGGUGGGAAUAUCGAGAUUGAACUCAUUGCAGUAUCUUAAUCUUUCACUGACACCUAUAAGGCAACUGCCGGUAGAGUUGAAGAUGUUAGAAAAUUUGAAAUAUUUGAACUUGGACUAUACUCUAUGGCUAGAUAUGAUUCCAAGGGGAGUCAUAU
rnacentral:misc_RNA from 1 species